GGAGUCCUCAGUCCAACUUCUCACAAUGACACUCCCUGCUCAGCUCCUGGGGCUGCUAAUGCUCUGGGUCCCUGGAUCCAGUGGGGAUACUGUGAUGACCCAGACCCCACUCUCCCUGCCCGUCUCCCCUGGACAGCUGGUCUCCAUCUCCUGCAGGUCUAGUCAGAGUCUGCUGCACAGUAAUGGAAACACCUAUUUGAGUUGGUACCUGCAGAAGCCGGGCCAGUCUCCAGGUCGCCUGAUUUAUAGGGUUUCCAACCGGGACUCUGGCAUCCCAGACAGGUUCAGUGGCAGUGGGUCAGGGACAGAUUUCACACUGAAGAUCAGCAGGGUGCAGCCUGAGGAUGCUGGGGUUUAUUACUGUGCACAAGGUACACAUCGUCCUCCCACAGUGGUACAGCCCUGAACACAAACCUCCCUGCUGGGUAGCCCAGCUGCCCACCAGUGUUGUUUGUGUGGUGAGCAG